rnacentral:rRNA from 1 species
AUGGCUGCUGGAAUGUUUUUGCUUGCCCCUUGGUGGCAAUUUUGUAUUUUUAGAGCAUGUUUGGUUACCCUCCGGACUUUGCCACACUUUUGUCCCACAAGUGUGGCAUUCCACAUUUUUUGUGGUGGCCAAAUUGGUUGCCACACUUGUGGCAGAAGUUGGCUAGUAACCAAGUCCAUGACAAUGGUAAAGCUGCUGCCUUGUGACCAUGAGGUCACGGGUUCAAGUCCUGGAAACAGCCUCUUGCAGAAAUGUAGGGAAAGGCUGCGUACAAUAGACCCAAAGUGGUCGGACCCUUCCCCAGACCCUGCGCAAGCGGGAGCUACAUGCACUGGGGCUGCCCCCCCUCCCCCCAUCCAUUGCGGAGCCUCGACAAGAGUUGCAGGCGGGAAGUGGGUGCAGGCUCAGGAAUUGGUGGAGACCACUACCCAGGGUAAGCUUUAUCUGCUGUCAGAUUGGUUGAGGCCUUGCGGGUGGCAAGACCCAGACGCCAGGGUUCCUGACCCUGGUAAGUGGAUAACCCCACGGGAGAGUGUGUGGAACCCACCCCACACACUUUUCCCAAUCGAGCCCGAGCUGCAAGAACACUUGCUGCUCCCCCACUCUCCCCCAUCCCUCAAGCUCCCCCUCAAAUCCUCUCCAAAAGUGAUAUGCAUGAUGGGGAGACUUGUUAAUGUUCAUUACAUGGACAAGGGGGCAUUCUUGAGUAACAAUGUCGACACGGGUGAGGAACAAAUGGUUUUUGAUACAAGCCCUAUCUAUGAGGAUGUUGUUGCAAAAGUGAGACAUGUCUUAAAGUGGAUGGACACCAAUGUUGAUGUUAAGUUAAUAGGAAGGUAUGAUGUUGGAUUUAGAGCCAAAUCUCGCUUGAAAAGUAUGCCUAUCACCUCAUAUUUGCAUUGGGAUGUAUACAAGGAAAAAGUUUCCCAAUCGGAAGACAAGUCACUUGAAUUGUUCACCACCAAGGUUGAAUCUCCUCGGUUUACAAUUGAUUUGAACCAGCAUGUCUCUUUCCCAAUGGAUGACAUGAGCGAGAGGACAAUGGUGCCACUUGUUGAGCAUAGGGCUGUGGUUGAUGCCCCCAAUACUUAUCGCCAACCACGUCCCCGUCUACCAUCUAGUGAAGCAAAUGAGGUUGAGUUGUAUGCCCACAAUGCUUCUAGCCAACCACCAACUAGCCAAGCAAAUGAAGUUGACGUGAUUGCUAGUGACAAAGUAAUUCAAGAGGAUGGAGAUGCUCAUGAUGAUGAUGAAGAGGGAAAGGAAGGGUUUCAUGGUAAUGAUGUUGGUGACUUGGAUGCGUACAUAGCGCAAAAGGACAUGGAUCGUGAGUUGCCUUUUAGGCGUCAAUAUGCGUAUGACUCGGAUAACGAAGGUCCGGGGGAAGAGUUGGACGAGGAUGGAUUCACAAAGGAUGAAAACCAAAUGCACUUUGAGCUGACGGGCUUAGAAAAAAGAACUCACUUGUUUCGAGAUCUCAGCCUUGCCCAUAAAGCCAUAGUUGAUGGUGGCAUGAGAAUGACGGCGAUUGGGCCAACACCAUGCCCGGAUCCAGGCGAGCCAAGGGAGGAGAACGAGGACGAGAAUGCUUUGAAGAAAGGAGAGAAGUUUCUGAGCUUGCCUAUGCUGAAGAUUUGCAAGAAGGAUGGCCAUGGAAGGUGCAAACCACCAUCGAAACGACUUCGAAAGACACACCGUCAACCCACGUCCGAGUAUCUCGGAUACAAAUUUAUGAAAGACAUAGCCGUUGAUCCCAUUGUGAAAUAUGGGAAGGCAUGGAAGGCAAAGGCAAAUGCUAUUAGGAUGUUGUAUGGUGGUUACGAAGAAGCAUACAACCAGCUCCCGAGGUUGUUGGGCGCAAUUGCACAUAGGAAUCCGGGCAUGUUUCAUGUGGUCGAUGAUCAUGAGGGAGUGUUCCACCGUGCCUUUUGGAGUUAUGAACAAUUGGCAUUUGCUUUGGUGCCUUCCGAGCACCAAGACAACUGGGAGUGGUUCAUGGGUCAUGUGAGGCACAAUGCAAUUGGGGCUAGGGAGGUAUGCAUCAUACCGGACCAGCACCAUGGCAUACUCAAGGCAAUGGACAUUGUUAUUCCAGGGUUUCCAAAGCUUCACCACAGAUGUUGCAUGAGGCAUUUCAUGGCCAACUUUAACCGGGCAUGUAAGACCAAGGAGCUCAGCAAAGACCUUACCCAUGUAUGUGAGGCAUUCACCACCAAUGGCUUCGAUGCUCGGUGCAACAAACUCUUUGCAGCGGUGAACCAAGGGGGAAAAGAGUUAUUAACUAGGAAUUUUAGCGAGAAACACAAGUGGGCAUGCGCUCAUGAUGAUGGAGGUAGGCGAUAUGGCGACAUGACGAGCAACCUGGUUGAAUGUUUCAACAAUGUGCUCAAGGGUGCUCGUUCAUUGCCGGUGACUGCAAUAGUGGAGUAUACCUUCUUCAAGCUUAAUGAGUACUUUCAGAGGCAUUCUGAAGAGACUGCAAAAUGGAUAGGUGAAAAAAUGGAUUAUCCAAAAAAGGUUGAUGAAUGGCUGCAGUUACAAGCAAGCAAGUCUUCGCAACAACAAGUUAUCAUAUUCGACAAAAGUGAAAUGAUCUAUCAAAUUGACGAGCCAGGUGGCACAACACGCGACGGUUUUUCAUAUGGUGGUGCCGCAUUUGAGUGGCCUGAGUAUCAUGGCCCUCAUAUUAAGCCAGACCCUCUCCUGAAGGUGGAGACCAAGGGUAGAAGGAGAACUAAGAGGUUCAGGGGUGAUAUGGAUGACCUGGCUGGAUACAUUGGCAUGAAACAAUUUGGUAGCGGUCAUUUCAUGGAGGCUCGUGACACUAUCAAUUGUGGGGGGUGCGAUGAAGGGCGACACAAUGCGCGGACAUGCAAGAAAAGGAAAAGGUCGAAGGGGGGCAUUCCUAGCACUAGCCGCGGAGGAAAGACAAGUCGUGGAGGUGGCACCAGUGGUGAACGAGGUGGAAGAGGUGACGGUGGUGGUGGUGGUCGAGGAAGCACAAGUGACAAAGGUGGUGGUGGUGGUCGUAGAGGAAGCACAAGUGCUAGAGGUGGUGGUGGUCGUAGAGGAAGCACAAGUGCUAGAGGUGGUGGUGGUCGUAGAGGAAUGGUUGAUAAUGGAUCGGCCUUCGGUUAUUUGUUUAAUCCAGAUGGUUGGCCUAAUAAUAAUGGUAUAUUAUUUCUUCAUACAAUUCCGAGCAUUUAUUGA